rnacentral:tRNA from 2 species
AGGCGCGUAGCUCAGUGGUAGAGCACUACCUCGACACGGUAGGGGUCGGUGGUUCGAUCCCACUCGCGCCUACCA